rnacentral:rRNA from 1 species
UGACCUCUGACCUCAAAUCAGGUAGGACUACCCGCUGAACUUAAGCAUAUCAAUAAGCCGGGAGG